rnacentral:rRNA from 1 species
CCUACGGGGGGCAGCAGUCGAGAAUCAUUCACAAUGGGGGAAACCCUGAUGGUGCGACGCCGCGUGGGGGAAUGAAGGUCUUCGGAUUGUAAACCCCUGUCAUGUGGGCGCAAAUUAAAAAGAUAGUACCACAAGAGGAAGAGACGGCUAACUCUGUGCCAGCAGCCUCGGUAAUACAGAGGUCUCAAGCGUUGUUCGGAAUCACUGGGCGUAAGGCGUGCGUAGGCUGUUUCGUACGUCGGGUGUGAAAGGCGCGGGCUCAACCCGCGGACGGCACAUGAUACUGCGAGACUAGAGUAAUGGAGGGGGAACCGGAAUUCUAGGUGUAGCAGUGAAAUGCGUAGAUAUCGAGAGGAACACUCGUGGCGAAGGCGGGUUCCUGGACAUUAACUGACGCUGAGGCACGAAGGCCAGGGGAGCGAAAGGGAUUAGAUACCCUUGUAGUC